AACGAACGCUGGCGGCAUGCCUAACACAUGCAAGUCGAACGAGACCUUCGGGUCUAGUGGCGCACGGGUGCGUAACGCGUGGGAACCUUCCCUUAGGUUCGGAAUAACUCCCCGAAAGGGGUGCUAAUACCGGAUAAUGUCUUCGGACCAAAGAUUUAUCGCCUUUGGAUGGGCCCGCGUUGGAUUAGCUAGUUGGUAGGGUAAAAGCCUACCAAGGCGACGAUCCAUAGCUGGUCUGAGAGGAUGAUCAGCCACACUGGGACUGAGACACGGCCCAGACUCCUACGGGAGGCAGCAGUGGGGAAUAUUGGACAAUGGGCGAAAGCCUGAUCCAGCAAUGACGCGUGAGUGAUGAAGGCCUUAGGGUUGUAAAGCUCUUUUACCCGGGAUGAUAAUGACAGUACCGGGAGAAUAAGCUACGGCUAACUCCGUG
rnacentral:rRNA from 1 species